rnacentral:rRNA from 1 species
UACGUAGGGGGCAAGCGUUGUCCGGAUUUAUUGGGCGUAAAGAGCGUGUAGGCGGCUCUUCAAGUCAGACGUGAAAGCCCCGGGCUUAACUCGGGAACUGCGUUUGAUACUGUCGAGCUAGAGUGUGGAAGGGGCGAUUGGAAUUCCGUGUGUAGCGGUGAAAUGCGUAGAUAUACGGAGGAACACCAGAGGCGAAGGCGGAUCGCUGGGCCAGCACUGACGCUCAUGCACGAAAGCGUGGGGAGCAAACAGG